GCAGUGGGUACGGGCAGACUAGAGUGCGGUAGGGGAGAACGGAAUUCCUGGUGUAGCGGUGGAAUGCGCAGAUAUCAGGAGGAACACCGAUGGCGAAGGCAGUUCUCUGGGCCGUUACUGACGCUGAGGAGCGAAAGCGUGGGGAGCGAACAGGAUUAGAUACCCUGGUAGUCCACGCCGUAAACGGUGGGUGCUAGCUGUGGGCCACAUUCCACGUGGUCCGUGACGAAGUUAACACAUUAAGCACCCCGCCUGGGGAGUACGGCCGCAAGGCUAAAACUCAAAGGAAUUGACGGGGGCCCGCACAAGCGGCGGAGCAUGCGGAUUAAUUCGAUGCAACGCGAAGAACCUUACCAAGGCUUGACAUAUAGAGGAAAAGUGCAGAAAUGUACUCCCCGUAAGGUCUCUAUACAGGUGGUGCAUGGUUGUCGUCAGCUCGUGUCGUGAGAUGUUGGGUUAAGUCCCGCAACGAGCGCAACCCUCGUCCUAUGUUGCCAGCACGUAAUGGUGGGAACUCAUGGGAUACUGCCGGGGGUCAACUCGGAGGAAGGUGGGGAUGACGUCAAAUCAUCAUGCCCCCUUAUGUCUUGGGCUUCACGCAUGCUACAAUGGUCGGUACAGAGGGCUGCAAUACCGUAAAGGUGGAGCGGAAUCCCAAAAACCGGUCUCAGUUCGGAUUGAAGGUCUGCAACUCGACCUCAUGAAGGUCGGAGUCGCCUAGUAAUCGUAGAUCAGCCACGCUACAGUGAAUUACGUUCCGGCCCUUGGUACACA
rnacentral:rRNA from 1 species